UCGGAUGACUAGAUUAAUAUAUAUUUACACAUUUGUGUGAAUGUGUGUGUUGUGCAAUAAUAGUUACUCCUUAGAAAGCUCACAUAUCUUAUUUAAUUUUUCAGGAAGUAAGUUUCUCUUUAAUUCGGUUAAGCUAUGUUCCUUCGUCGCAGAGCUAGAAAGAAAAUUUUCCUAGACCAAUAAAUAUUUUGCUAUGUAUCUAGAUGUAUAAAAAUCUAUGUAUAUCUAUUAGUUAGUGACUUCGCAGUUUUAGAAUUUGUAUACAAUUAGUCGUGUAUUAACAUAGACAAUAUAAUUAUGUGAGCC
rnacentral:lncRNA from 1 species